rnacentral:ncRNA from 1 species
CGCGCCAAUCGGCAACGCUUGGCGUGAUGAGGCAGAAGUCAGCAGACGGCAUAGUAGCCAAAUGCUCACCGUAAUGGGUGAGACACGGUGAAGGCC